UCUAUGUGAAAAAAAUAUUUAGUCUGGCCUGCCCACUGAUGCUUUGAAGGGUCGCGGUAUCUAAACCGUGCUAAGGUAGCAUAAAAAAUAGUCUUUUAAUUGAGGUCUAGUAUGAAUGGUCGGACAGGAAGCAUGCUGUUUUAGUCGUAAAAUAUGAACUUUACUUUUAAGUGAAAAGGCUUAAAUUUAGCGGUGGGACGAUAAGACCCUAUAAAGCUUUACAUCUCUAUUCGCCAGGGUAAAGAAAUUAAGGUAUUCUGUUCUUGUUGUGAGAGUGUUUCGUUGGGGCGACGGGAAUAUAAAUGGUAACUGUUUUUUGAAGAAAACAGAUUUUUUUGGGUAGCUGAUCCUCUGUUGAGAUUAUAAGAAUAAAGUUACUUUAGGGAUAACAGCGUAAUUUUUCUUGAGAGUUCAUAUCGACAGAAAUAGUUGCGACCUCGAUGUUGAAUUAAAGUUUCCCUUAGGUGUAGAAGUUUAAGUGGUGGGUCUGUUCGACCUUUAAAGC
rnacentral:rRNA from 1 species